rnacentral:rRNA from 1 species
GCGAGUGAAGCGGCAACAGCUCAAAUUUGAAAUCUGGCCCUCGGGUCCGAGUUGUAAUUUGUAGAGGAUGCUUUUGGCGAGGUGCCUUCCGAGUUCCCUGGAACGGGACGCCAUAGAGGGUGAGAGCCCCGUCUGGUCGGACACCGAGCCUCUGUAAAGCUCCUUCGACGAGUCGAGUAGUUUGGGAAUGCUGCUCAAAAUGGGAGGUAUAUGUCUUCUAAAGCUAAAUAUUGGCCAGAGACCGAUAGCGCACAAGUAGAGUGAUCGAAAGAUGAAAAGCACUUUGAAAAGAGGGUUAAAAAGUACGUGAAAUUGUUGAAAGGGAAGCGCCUAUGACCAGACUUGAGCCCGGUGAAUCAUCCAGCGUUCUCGCUGGUGCACUUUGCCGGGCCCAGGCCAGCAUCAGUUUGGCGCGGGGGAUAAAGGUGACGGGAAUGUGGCUCCCUCGGGAGUGUUAUAGCCCGCUACGUAAUACCCUGCGCCGGACUGAGGUACGCGCAUUGCAAGGAUGCUGGCGUAAUGGUCAUCAGCGACCCGUCUUGAAACACGGACCAAGGAGUCGUCUUCGUAUGCGAGUGUUCGGGUGUCAAACCCCUACGCGUAAUGAAAGUGAACGCAGGUGAGAGCUUCGGCGCAUCAUCGACCGAUCCUGAUGUUCUCGGAUGGAUUUGAGUAAGAGCAUACGGGGCCGGACCCGAAAGAAGGUGAACUAUGCCUGUAUAGGGUGAAGCCAGAGGAAACUCUGGUGGAGGCUCGCAGCGGUUCUGACGUGCGAAUCGAUCGUCAAAUA